ensembl:lncRNA
AAGGAAAACAAAGCCUUGGGGAGUCACACAGAGACAGAACCACUGGGGCGGAAGGGAAACAGACAAGUCUGCAACUGACAAAGGAUGCACAGGGCUAAAUACACAGAGAGCUAAUUGAACGCAGGUGAAAUUAAUGAGUGUGGACAGAGGAUCACAAAUGAGGCAAAAAUCAACAGAAAACGCAGAAAGUUAUCAAAAUCAAACAAGAAGUCAUUGCAAAGAAACCUUAAGAGAGACAAAGGGAACCAAAGACAGCAGUCAUGGGGGGAAAGGAAUGAAAAUUAUCCCAAAGAAAAUCCUGGGACAGGUUAUCACUGCCCUGCUGUCAUUAGUUUAUAAGCUGUAUGACAGUCUUAAAAGCUUCUUCUCAAACAACACGUCUGUCUCAAACCUACAGCUGAACAUGGAGUGGUGUGUGAUCAGUCCAAAUAAUGCACUAAAUAGGUUUAAAAUAUCAGGGAGAUAUUAAUAUCCCAAACAUUUUCUUGGCCGGUGCCUUCAUUUUGCAGUGGCUCCGCUUGGACUACACUCAGCGACAACAACUGGCAGACUUAACUCGGUGUUCCCUUUAGGUUUCCCACUGCUCUAAACCUUAAUACAGGAUGCCACACAAGUAGCAGAGAGUUACCGAUACAGUAGUGGAUGCACUGCUGUUUUAUUAGAUUAUGAAUGCUUUAGAUUAAGAAAAGCGAAGAUAAUUCCAAAAAAAAAAAAAAAAUCGAACAAAUGGCAAAUUCUCUGCAGUCCAAUAAAUGUAAUAAUCAUGCAAAACAAAAAUCCUCAGACCCACAUGCAUAAUAACAUGAAAUGGGACUGAAGACAUUAACUGGGCAUGUUUAUUGAUUACAAUUACGUCCACAUUUAGAUAAGCUUAAAUUGUAUAAUAUUGGAGGUGGUUAUUAGUGGGUGGAAUAGCCAUUGCACCGAAAACGAUUUUAAAUACGACCAAUUCAAGCUAUCGUGAAAGCAACAGAAUUAUCCUGCUACAUCUUCUGUCAUGCAUUCGAUAGAAACCCUGGAAAUCACUAUUCUCUCUCCCUCUCUACCCUU